AAUAUAAAACCAAGUAAAAUUCAUUUUUUUUUCUGGUAAAACACCAGCUUCACUUUGGUUCUUCAAAUCGUUGUUAGCAUUUCUUUCCUUAACAAAGCUUUCAAACUCCUCAACCUGCCAUUGAACCGUUCGAAAGCAGCCUUUAUAACAGGAUCUUCAUUCCAAAUAGCCUUUGACUGACUGUCAAGGUACUCUUCAUCUUGGAAAUGGUUCGACAGAAUAUCCAAAAUUGCCAUCACUCUUGUCGCUUGGUCGCACUGUAGAAGCACCCAUUCAGGAGCAAGAAAGAAAACAAACGGAGUAGGAUAACCAAGGCAAAAAAGCAAGCAAGAAAAAACUGAAAGAGAAAAAGUUAACUGCAACAACCAUGUCUUUUGAAGAUCGGUGCAAGGCUUGCAUAAAUCGUUAAUUUGGCAGGGACAAAGUGGAUGAGUUUACAUGGAGGAGGGCAUACCCUUUGGAGCAGCCGAAGGAGUACGAUGAUGUCAAAAGUGAGAUUGAGAAUAGGAAGGAUUUUCUACAAUGUCAAGCACACCUACACCGAUUGCCACCUGAGGAGGUGGAGAGGCUAAACCAAGAAAGUUUCUUCUAACCUAAUAAUAAUAAUGAUGACGAUGGUGAUAAUAAUUUUGAUAUUUAAUAUAUUGAUGUUAAGUGUUUUUUUUUUUUUUUUUUUUUUUUUUUAUAAAAAAAUAGGUAGAUCAUGUUAUUUUAAGGGGACUAUGAGUAUAGUUUGAUGAUGAUUAUGAGCAAUUGAAGUCUACUGCCCAUUUUAGGAAGCUUUUAUCAAUUGACCACAACCCUCCAAUUGAUGAAGUUAUCAAAGCAGGUGUAGUCCCUUAGUCUGUUAAAUUUCUUGGAAUGUAUAAUAUGCCCCAAAUGCAAGUAAUAGACUUACUCAUAAUUGCUUUAUUUGACCCUUUCUUUCUUUUUCUUCUUUUUGGUUCCUAUCCAAAUAAAUGAAUUUAAGGGAAAUAGUAAAUAUGCUUCAGUGACUACCAAAUAAGGGUAGAAUUAGUUUCAAAAUACCAAACUAGAAUGAUUUCAAUACAAUAGGGAAAAUGUUAUCUCAAAAAAAGAUUAAUGGAAAGUGAAGAGUAGAAAAAGCAUGAUGACUUGAACAUCUAGAUGGUACUAAUUUAGUUAUGAGAACAUUUAAAUUUCUCCUUUGUAUUGAUGGCUAACAUUUGAUGUAACUAUUAAAUUGCCCUAAAAAAGUUAUAAAUAAAUAUCUUGUCCUUCUUUUUAGUUUAAGGUUAUAAUUCCUGCAAGAUUUUUUACUUGGUGUUUAAUGUAUUCAGUGUUCAUUGAAGCUUACUGAUUAGUUGUUUCCCAGAUGAAGAAGAAAAAUCAGGACCUAUUAUACUCCAUUUAGACUCAUUAGGACUUCACUCUAGCAUAUCAGUUUUUCAAAACAUUAAGAGGUGAGAAGAGAAGAGAAGAGAAGAUCUUCUGAAAUUGUGGAGUAGGAAUAAUCUGGUCUGAUAUAUUAAUUGUACGUGUGCAACUUUUAGUAGUUAUCUAUUGCUAGAUUUGACUUUUAUGUAUAUUUAAUGCCUGUGUAAGAAGUAAAUAUCUGGUAAAUUUAUUUAAUAUUGAAUAUUUUGUUUGUAUUCAUAUCUAAAAGGUUUUGAAAGUGAGAGAAGCAUUGGACUAUAUCAUAACAGUGAAGCAAGCAAAUGACCUUUGAGACAUUGGUAAUUUUGGUAAUGUGUUUGUUGAUUAUGCUUACAAGAGUUACUUUGUCCCUGAAAUAAAUAGACUAAUGUUCACUUAUGAAUCCUGGUACAUGUGCCUAAUAAUUGUGUGAAUGAACAAUUUAAUAUAGAUAUGUUAUGUUCUACAUAUGGUCACCUUGAUAUGUUUAAAAUAUUGGUCUUGCUGGGCUUGGGAGUACUCAAAUUGAAAUGUUUCUUAUUUCCUUUAAUGUUUUUUGCAGCAUAUUGACACUAUUUUGUAUUUCAUAAGAAAAUGGCGGUUUGAGAAUGAGAAGGUGUUCACCCACAACUAUGCCAUAUUAGACACGUUAUUUUGGGUAAGAUGAUGGGAUGUUACUGUGCUGCUUAAUGUUAUAUUGAUAACAUUUUAUAUUGUAUCUAUGGUAAUCAAUUUGGCAGUCAUCCAUCGAAGGGUGUUAUCCCAAAAUGGGAGGCAUCUCGAAGCAUAUAUUUAUGUGAUUCCACAUUGCGAAGCUAUGUGCAUGGGAAGUCACCCAAACCUAGCAUGCCGUGUUGGAGAGGAGAUUGUGUAAAUCUAUACAUAUAUUUAAAAAAAUGCUCACUAAGUUUCCCAAUUUGUGGAUAAUGAGGUUACAUGCUAAUUUUUAGGUGUACAUCCCUAUCAACAAUGGAGGUGUCCAUUGGUUGGUAGCAUGUGUGGACUUGAAGGCUCGAUAUAUUAAUUUAUAUGAUCCAAAUAUCGAAAAUAAAUAUGUCCAUACUAGAGAGCUAGAAAAUGAGAAUUGCCUUAGGUUUAUGCUGCCUUACUUAUUGAGGGAUGGGGGAUAUUACGAGAAGAAUCCGGACGUGCCUCCCACUUUAGAUCCAUUCAUGAUGACCAUGAUCAAAGAUGCACCCCAACAAGAUAAUGGGUAUGAAUGUGUUAUCAUUUCCAACCACUUCUAUUGCUGUUGUUUAACUGUGCUUACGUGUGGAAAUGCACAUGGUUGGUUUUCAUUAAUGCUAUUCUGCAGGGGUGAUUGUGGCGUCUUCGCUUUGAAAUUUAUUGAGCAUAGAAGCAGUGAGGAGAACCUUUUAUUUGGCCUGGAAGACAUUAGUUGGUUUAGGAAAAAAUAUGCUAUUGAGUUGUACGUUAAUAAAUUUCAAUGUAGAUCAUGUUUAAUGUUAUGGCACCCUAUAUUAAUGUUA